CGCCAGCGAUAAAUUGGUAUCGCUGAAGGGCCAAUCGGGGCCAGAGAU
rnacentral:ncRNA from 1 species